rnacentral:rRNA from 1 species
GACGAACGCUGGCGGCGUGCUUAACACAUGCAAGUCGAGCGGUAAGGCCCUUUCGGGGGUACACGAGCGGCGAACGGGUGAGUAACACGUGGGUGACCUGCCCUUACGCUCUGGGAUAAGCCUGGGAAACGUAGGGUCUAAUACCGGAUAUGACUCCAUGACGCAUGUUGUGGGGUGGAAAGCCUUGUGCGGCUAGGGAUGGGCCCGCGGCCUAUCAGCUUGUUGGUGGGGUGAUGGCCACCAAGGCGACGAC